rnacentral:tRNA from 1 species
CAGGGCCUAUUUUAAUAAUAAAAUAUUAGUAUGUCAUAUUAAAGAUAGCUACCGCUGGCCUUGA